rnacentral:lncRNA from 1 species
ACUCGUGAGGAAAUUAUUAUUAUUAUUAUUGUUUUAAAGACUCUGAAAUUGAGACUCAGAGUGAUAAAGACACUUAUCUACGAUGGAGGAUAGGACUCUAGAUGCUAGUUCUUUUUUGUCUCCAAAAACUGUCAUUCUAAUUAUUUAUUAAAUAUCAAGACAUCUGAAUUUAUCUGUUCACAAUGAGAAAAUAGUGCAUUUGUAAACAUUUCUGUGUAGUGGGAUAUGAGAUUCUUGUACCACAAUGUGUAAUAUAAGGUCCACACUGAACCCAUCCCAUUUGGACCCUUCUGUGAACUUCAUUAACAUCUGUACACAUCAGAAGUAUUGCAUUUACUAUCUUAUCUGUUUGGUAUCUGCUGAAGUGUGAUGAAAUUAAUGAAUAUUAUGUUAUAUUGUUUAUCAAUAUUCAGUAUAGUACUUGACAUAUUAUAGCAGGUUCUGAAUAUAUAAUGAUUGCAUAUAUAAAGAAAAGAAUGUAUCCAUCCAUCCAUCCAUCCAUCCAUCCGUAAAUGCAACAAUGAAUGAAUAAGAGGUUAGAUGAUACUACAGAGAUUUAUCUACAGAAUAUCUUCUAGUCUGGCUUGGGUAAAUAAUAACAAAAAAAUGCCUUUUCUAGAUGUAUCACCUUGCACCUUUGUAGAAUACUCCACAAAACCCUCUCUACGGCUGCCACCACACUGCAAAAUCCCUUGUCUUAUAUUCGUUAAUGCCUUAUUACUUAUUUAUUCUUUCAAAUGUGGCCUUUGUAGCUGAAUCCUGAAUUUUGCUAUAAGCAAUGAAUAUUUUCAUGUGAUGUAAAAAAUAUGAAUACAUAAACAAGCAACAGAAUACCCAACAAAGAACUGGGCCCUAAAUGUCUAGAGCAGGGGUCAAACCAACAUCUUCUGAAUAUUGAUUUAACAGAUUAAACUCUGCUGGAGUUAGUUGUCAGAGUUUGCAUUCACACCCUUCCUCAGUAAGCUUAUGGAACUUCCCAAGUUGUCUGCAGCCCUGAACAAUGCAAUGGAGAGUAGAUUGUGUGACUCAUAGAGAUCACUCAAGACUGCUAAUAUACUCGUCUAUGCAGUGAGGUUAGAGCUGAUCCAGUGGUCUUUCUAAAUCUGGAAAGUGGUUUCCUCCUAAUAUGUACAAAUAUUAUUUUACCUACUCUAGUCUUAAAAUAUGAAAUGCAACUGGAAAUAAAUUAUUGCUUUAGUGAGUUUUUUACUCUCUUCUUGACAAUCAUUUUUCUCAGUAACAGAAAUUGAAUGUCCCUGAAGAAAAGCAAAAGGUAAUUGACCUCACCCUAUCUGACUAGAUCCAUUUAUUUAUAUUUGUGUGUUGGUUUUCAUUUUGCUUAAUGUGGAGUUAUCAUUACCUAACCCUAACUGAAAUGUUUCAGAUUACUCAAAAAAAAGUUUGAAUAAUUACCUGAGUUAAUAAAUGUGGCCCAGGAUUCUCAUGUAUAAAAUGAGGAUGCUAUUUUUCUUGCCAUUUUAUAUAUGUAUAGGUGUGUAUAAAGACUUACCCCGUCCAGUUGACACGAACAACAUGGGUUUAAACUGUACAGUUCCACUUAUAUUCACAGCCUUUUUUUUAAAUAGGAAAUACCACAAUGCUACCUAAUCCACACAGUUAAAUACACAUAAGUGGAAUCUCAGUUACGGAGGGACUACAUAUACAUAAGAACACUUAUACAGAAGACCAAUUAUAAGUUAUUUGUGGAUAUUUGACUGUGUGAAAGUUUGAUGCCCCUAACCCCGUAUUGUUCAAGGGUCAGUUAUAUUUAUAAAAUAAUUAUUGCCUGAUUAUGCAUAAUGCAAAAUUUAUGGCAUACUCUAACUCAUCUCUGCAUACCUGACCUCCAUCUAGAUAGAAGUAAAAAAAAUUAUAUUGAACAACAGUGCAAUAUAAGUGAACAAUAAGUAGUAUUAAUAUACCAUUAUUAUUAGAUAAUAAAACUUAUAUUUGCUUCAUCACCCAGACAAUAUUUAUAUGUACUUAAUAUAUAAAUGUGACUCCCGUAUUUCUUGCUUCUUCUCCUUCUCUCUCUCUCUCUUUCUCACACAUGCACACGCACAAACACAUGCACGCACAUUCACACAGAAAACUUGCUUAUAUAGCUUUCAAUUGGGAGCUGGAUUCAACCUAAAGCAAAAUUUUUAUAAAUCACUAUCUUCAUGAGAUUAAAAAUGUUUGAAUACUUAAUGGCAAAGAAUUAAAAAAAAAAAUCUGGUGGAUGCACUUAUAAGACUUUGUUGCUAUCAUCUUGUAAUCACAGCCAGACUUUCAUUAGGGAAUUAGCUAAAUGUUCAUUUGGCAGUGACUUCCUGUUUGAUGAGUAAGACUUUCAGCAUGUUGUGAUUUCUGUCCUUUUGCUGAUAGAUAUACUUGCUGUCCUUAUAAUUGGUUUAUCCCAGUAGAUAGUUUCCUCAGAGACCAUGCAGUCACGGACAAUAUCACCCAAUUUCCUUCCAAGAAUUGUUGGAAGGUCUAAUCAAGAAAUGUUUGUGAGUUGCAUUCAGAAGGGAAGUACUCUCCAGUGGCAGAGAGGCAUGAUUAUUACUGGAAUUAGUCUUUACAAAAAUCUCUAAUCACCACCCAGACAAGAUGAAGAGGUGAUGGAAAAAGCUCCUAAGUGAAUUAAAAAAAAAAUUAACCAAAAUUUCCAAAUACGUUUUUAUCUUUAAUUGAAGAAAAAAAAUGUUUUUCCUUCCUUUUACUGUUAUUUGCCACUGAGGGUCUAAUAUUUUAAAUGAGUUUUUAGAACACAAAGAAAGAGCAUUAAAAUUAUGGGUUUGGACUUCAUUCAUUCUGUGCUUCUACAAUUCUAAAUUGCCACUAAUUUCCUUCUUUACACAUGCAGUGUAGGAAUGGUUGUUUUUCACAGACCUUGAUUUUUCACUAAUUAGUUGCCAGAAUUAAGUUUGCAAUUACCCAAUUGAAAUAUUUUAAGAAAAUGUGUCAUGUAUCAGAAAAAUAAUUGAAAUGCAUAUUUGAAGAAAAACUUGGACCGUGUCUGAUAUAUUGUAAUAAUUUAGAUCUUUGUUGCAAGUAAGAGAUAUCUGACUCAAAAUGACUUAAGCAAAAGUAUAGACUUAUUAUAAGGAUACUAAGGUCAUUCAUGGAAACCAAGAACAAGGCUGAGUCUGAAGAAUUAUAGAAAUAAGAAACUCAGAUAUGUUUAAAAUGUGCUUUCCACAUUUUGUCUCUUCUCUUCAACGAUCAGGGUCAGUCUUUUCUUUCUCUCUGUAAAGGAUUUUUCUAUGCUUUUUCAGUUCUCCUGGAGGAAAAUCUAGUUGCCCAAAAUUGUGCCUCAGAGUCUAGGUUCUCCAAAAGAGAGUGAUACACAUUCUCUGUUUCAUCUCCAGAAUUCCUAGGGAGGGACUCAUGUUUUAGCUUAGGUUGGGUGCCUUAGUUUAACUGGUCAACUGUAGUUAGAUGAUGUGGAUCCCACUACAACUAACCUAACAGUUCUUAGAAGAAAUGUGUGGAGGGAGCGAAGGUUGAGGAGGAAUCUCCAGACAAAAGUGCUUAGCAGAUAAUUCUGUAAGGAACUACUGUGUACAUUAAAUGCUAAUACUUAAACAUUCCACAGGUUGAUUUUAUAAACAGAGACUAGGGAAACAGGUCAAAUAAUAAAAUGAUAUUAUAUGUUAAACCUCAUAAAAAUAACUUGACCUAAUUUAGCCCCCAAAAUAUGAGUGAAAGUUUAAUAAACAAGACAUUAUCACCACACAAGAGCAAUUUACCCAUAGAAAAACCUAAAAGCCAUUCACAGAUAGUAUUCUCCUUAGCUCAAGUUUAUAUUGCGUGUUGAGUCUAUGGAAGCCCUUAUGCUAAGAACUGAGAAUAAUAUGAUGAGUAAGAUAGUGUAGGGGAAUGGGUGACAUAACAAUAUACCAUUAUGCAGAAAAUGCAAUGACGGAAAUAUCUAGAGGUAUUUAUGGGAAUCCUUAGGAGGAGCAAAGCCCUGUUAGGAGUGAGUAAUAAUCACAAAUGUCAUCCCAAAGGAGUCAACCCCUGAACCACAUUUACAGAGAGAAGUAAAAGUUAUCCAUGUAAAGAAAUGGAAAAUUAUCAGAGAAAGUUCACCAGGGGUCCAAUGAUGGAGCACCUUGAAAACCCAGCUAAAAGAGCUUGGAUUUUUCUGAAGUUUCCUAAAACAAAGGCAUGGGAAUAUCAUGAUUCUAUUUGUUCAGUACUAGGUCUGAAUUACAGUCUCCAUAAACACAGUCCCUGAGACUUGUUUUCUCAGUAACUUCUCAAGUAAUCAAGUAAUCUAGGCUAAUUGGGUAUGGGGGAGAGAAAGGAGUUCUAGUGCAUUAGGGCCUGUUCUAAUUAUACCUGUCCUACAACCACAAACUACUGCAGUAUCGCCAAAUGUCUUCUGGUUGCAAGAAAUAAUUAUAUUCAACCAAAAAUCAAUAGAAUUAACACUUUGGACAUAUUUUUCUUCCUUACUUCAAGAAGGUAGAACAUUUUGUGACAUUCUCUUCUUCAUAUUGUUCACCCCCACGAGACCCAGGCUUUCAAUUAUAGUUGGGCUAAAUUGCCUGCCGUCCCCUGACUUUACUCAUCAUAAAGUCAUUUGAAUUUGCUCAUGGGAAUUUUCAUGCCCAGAACUCACUCACUCUUGCUAUCUGCCGGAAUCUAUGGUUCUUACUAUUAAAAACUCAGUUUGAGGCCAUUCCUCCCAGGGUGGCUCAUUACAUUAGGCAGGGAAUGUGUGGCACUCUCCUUCUGGCAGUCCCCACCAUCUCUUCUAUAGCAUUCAUGAUAUGCGAAUGCAUUUUUGUUUCUCACAUUUGUGUGUAUGUGCUUUCUUCCUAAAAUAUGCAAAGCCAAAGCCUCAAAGCACUGAUAUGUCCCCUCAAAAAGUAUACAUUGAGUUGAAUGACACUAACUUUAAUCACUGGAAUAAUAAAUAGACAUAGUCUGCUUUCACGUGUGCAUGUUUUGCAUGAGUUUCAGAAAUAUACCACACAAGAAAAAUAUCAUUUCUAGUGCCACCUUGUAAAAUAAGAUUCUGUCCUAAAAAAAUACUGUCAUAAUCCCAUAAUUUUUCACAAUAAUAAAUAGAUGGGCUUUAAGCUAUAUAAUGUCAU